UUAUUGUGUCAUUAUUAAUGUUAUAUAUUCGUUCAUAUUACUAAAGAUUUUUUUCUGAUAAGCCUUAUUUAUAAACGGCAGUCUUAUCCUUAUUACUUGACCAUAAGUUGAAAAACUUUAAAUGGAGUCAUGGAAAUUGGAAAGUCUUCCUUUCUCUACUUUAGCAUUUUUGUGUGGUCAACUCUCUCCGCCAUCAUGAUUCUUUGGCUCUUAUGUUCUUUAUUCUUGAAUUGUGAUAUUAAUUGCAUAUUACACUUCAUUUUUACAGGACUUGUUAUUUUCUUACAACAUUGCAGUGGAUAGAUCAAAUGAGAUGACAAAAGUGCUGGGCAAAUCUGCUGCAAGUGUUGGUCUACGCCUUCCUGAUGUUUAUCAGCUUUAAAAGUUUGAAGUACUGGUAUCAGGUCGAAACUGGAAGGUGAUAUCACUGAUAGCCUAGAACAACUUCCGUUCAUAUCUCUUUAGGGUAGCACUUCGUAGAUGCAUCCUAUGCUGGAUAGAAUUGUCCAUUGUUUUUGGUUCGAUGAACAGCAAACCAGGAGAGACAAUCAGAAUAAUGAAGAAUCUUCGCGUUUGUUAAGACUGAAAGUAAUAUCAGAAACUGUCAAGUGAGAAACAGUUGUUUGUGAUAGGAAUAGGUUUAAUUGUUUUAAAGAUGGCUUUUGUUCUUGUAAGAACCUUUUGUAUACUACAGUAUAUGGAAACUCAUUAGUUCA